rnacentral:rRNA from 1 species
GAUGAACGCUGGCGGCGUGCCUAAUACAUGCAAGUCGAGCGAACGGACGAGAAGCUUUCUUCUCUGAUGUUAGCGGCGGACGGGUGAGUAACACGUGGAUAACCUACCUAUAAGACUGGGAUAACUUCGGGAAACCGGAGCUAAUACCGGAUGAUAUUUUGAACCGCAUGGUUCAAAAGUGAAAGACAGUCUUGCUGUCACUUAUAGAUGGAUCCGCGCUGCAUUAGCUAGUUGGUAAGGUAACGGCUUACCAAGGCAACGAUGCAUAGCCGACCUGAGAGGGUGAUCGGCCACACUGGAACUGAGACACGGUCCAGACUCCUACGGGAGGCAGCAGUAGGGAAUCUUCCGCAAUGGGCGAAAGCCUGACGGAGCAACGCCGCGGGAGUGAUGAAGGUCUUCGGAUCGUAAAACUCUGUUAUUAGGGAAGAACAUAUGUGUAAGUAACUGUGCACAUCUUGACGGUACCUAAUCAGAAAGCCACGGCUAACUACGUG